rnacentral:rRNA from 1 species
CAGUCGCCACGGUAAUACGAAGGGUGCAAGCGUUACUCGGAAUUAUUGGGCGUAAAGGGCUCGUAGGCGGUUUGUCGCGUCGGGAGUGAAAACUCAGGGCUCAACCCUGAGCGUGCUUUCGAUACGGGCAGACUAGAGGUAUGCAGGGGAGAACGGAAUUCCUGGUGUAGCGGUGGAAUGCGCAGAUAUCAGGAGGAACACCGGUGGCGAAGGCGGUUCUCUGGGCAUUACCUGACGCUGAGGAGCGAAAGCAUGGGGAGCGAACAGGAUUAGAUACCCCUGUAGUCCCUGUCUCUUAUAC